rnacentral:rRNA from 1 species
AUGAACGCUGGCGGCGUGCCUAAUACAUGCAAGUCGAGCGAACAGACGAGGAGCUUGCUCCUCUGACGUUAGCGGCGGACGGGUGAGUAACACGUGGAUAACCUACCUAUAAGACUGGGAUAACUUCGGGAAACCGGAGCUAAUACCGGAUAAUAUAUUGAACCGCAUGGUUCAAUAGUGAAAGACGGUUUUGCUGUCACUUAUAGAUGGAUCCGCGCCGCAUUAGCUAGUUGGUAAGGUAACGGCUUACCAAGGCGACGAUGCGUAGCCGAUCUGAGAGGGUGAUCGGCCACACUGGAACUGAGACACGGUCCAGACUCCUACGGGAGGCAGCAGUAGGGAAUCUUCCGCAAUGGGCGAAAGCCUGACGGAGCAACGCCGCGUGAGUGAUGAAGGUCUUCGGAUCGUAAAACUCUGUUAUUAGGGAAGAACAAAUGUGUAAGUAACUAUGCACGUCUUGACGGUACCUAAUCAGAAAGCCACGGCUAACUACGUG